CUGACGAGUGGCGCACGGGUGCGUAACGCGUAUACAAUCUACCUAUAACUGGGGAAUAGCCCGAAGAAAUUCGGAUUAAUACCCUAUAAUAUUUAGUCAUCGCAUGAUGAUUAUCUUAAAACUCCGGUGGUUAUAGAUGGGCAUGCGGCCUAUUAGUUUGUUGGUGAGGUAAUGGCUCACCAAGACUACGAUAGGUAGGGGGUCUGAGAGGAUGAUCCCCCACACUGGUACUGAGACACGGACCAGACUCC
rnacentral:rRNA from 1 species